AUUGAACGCUGGCGGCAGGCCUAACACAUGCAAGUCGAGCGGUAGAGAGGUGCUUGCACCUCUUGAGAGCGGCGGACGGGUGAGUAAUGCCUAGGAAUCUGCCUGGUAGUGGGGGAUAACGUCCGGAAACGGACGCUAAUACCGCAUACGUCCUACGGGAGAAAGCAGGGGACCUUCGGGCCUUGCGCUAUCAGAUGAGCCUAGGUCGGAUUAGCUAGUUGGUGAGGUAAUGGCUCACCAAGGCGACGAUCCGUAACUGGUCUGAGAGGAUGAUCAGUCACACUGGAACUGAGACACGGUCCAGACUCCUACGGGAGGCAGCAGUGGGGAAUAUUGGACAAUGGGCGAAAGCCUGAUCCAGCCAUGCCGCGUGUGUGAAGAAGGUCUUCGGAUUGUAAAGCACUUUAAGUUGGGAGGAAGGGUACUUACCUAAUACGUGAGUAUUUUGACGUUACCGACAGAAUAAGCACCGGCUAACUCUGUGCCAGCCGCCGCCGUAAAAC
rnacentral:rRNA from 1 species